rnacentral:rRNA from 1 species
AUUGAACGCUGGCGGCAUGCUUUACACAUGCAAGUCGAACGGCAGCGCGGGGCAACCUGGCGGCGAGUGGCGAACGGGUGAGGAAUAUAUCGGAACGUACCCAGAAGUGGGGGAUAACGUAGCGAAAGGUACGCUAAUACCGCAUACGAUCUACGGUUGAAAGUAGGGGACCGCAAUGCCUAAUGCUUUUGUUGCGGCCGAUAUCUGAUUAGCUAGUUGGUAAGGUAAAGGCUCACCAAGGCGACGAUCAGUAGCUGGUCUGAGAGGACGACCAGCCACACUGGAACUGAGACACGGUCCAGACUCCUACGGGAGGCAGCAGUGGGGAAUUUUGGACAAUGGGCGCAAGCCUGAUCCAGCAAUGCCGCGUGAGUGAAGAAGGCCUUCGGGUUGUAAAGCUCUUUUGUCAGGGAAGAAACGGUAGAGGCUAAUAUCCUUUGCUAAUGACGGUACCUGAAGAAUAAGCACCGGCUAACUACGUG